rnacentral:rRNA from 1 species
AGUGAACGCUGGCGGUAGGCCUAACACAUGCAAGUCGAACGGCAGCACAGUAAGAGCUUGCUCUUACGGGUGGCGAGUGGCGGACGGGUGAGGAAUACAUCGGAAUCUACUUUUUCGUGGGGGAGAACGUAGGGGAACUUACGCUAAUACCGCAUACGACCUACGGGUGAAAGCAGGGGAUCUUCGGACCUUGCGCGAUUGAAUGAGCCGAUGUCGGAUUAGCUAGUUGGCGGGGUAAAGGCCCACCAAGGCGACGAUCCGUAGCUGGUCUGAGAGGAUGAUCAGUCACACUGGAACUGAGACACGGUCCAGACUCCUACGGGAGGCAGCAGUGGGGAAUAUUGGACAAUGGGCGAAAGCCUGAUCCAGCCAUACCGCGUGGGUGAAGAAGGCCUUCGGGUUGUAAAGCCCUUUUGUUGGGAAAGAAAAGCAGCAGGUUAAUACCCCGCUGUUCUGACGGUACCAAAAGAAUAAGCACCGGCUAACUUGGUG